rnacentral:rRNA from 1 species
UACGUAGGGGGCUAGCGUUGUCCGGAUUUAUUGGGCGUAAAGAGCGUGUAGGCGGCCAGGUAGGUCUGGUGUGAAAACUCGAGGCUUAACCUCGAGAUGUCAUCGGAAACCAUCUGGCUAGAGUCCGGAAGAGGAGAGUGGAAUUCCUGGUGUAGCGGUGGAAUGCGCAGAUAUCAGGAAGAACACCAAUGGCGAAAGCAGCUCUCUGGGACGGUACUGACGCUGAGACGCGAAAGCGUGGGGAGCGAACAGG